AAUAAGUACAGCCGUGGAUAUUCAUGCCCAAUGUUUGAUCGUCCAUCUUAUUUAAAAAAUUUAAAAAUAUUUAGUCACACAUAAAGUAUUAUUCAUGUUUUAUCAUUUAAUAGCAAUAAAAAUAUUAAUCUAAAAAAAUUUCAAAUAAGACGAACGGUUAAACGUUGAACGUGAAUAGUGUAAAACUGUACUUAUU
rnacentral:pre_miRNA from 1 species